UAGGGAAUCUUCGGCAAUGGACGGAAGUCUGACCGAGCAACGCCGCGUGAGUGAAGAAGGUUUUCGGAUCGUAAAGCUCUGUUGUAAGAGAAGAACGAGUGUGAGAGUGGAAAGUUCACACUGUGACGGUAUCUUACCAGAAAGGGACGGCUAACUACGUGCCAGCAGCCGCGGUAAUACGUAGGUCCCGAGCGUUGUCCGGAUUUAUUGGGCGUAAAGCGAGCGCAGGCGGUUAGAUAAGUCUGAAGUUAAAGGCUGUGGCUUAACCAUAGUAGGCUUUGGAAACUGUUUAACUUGAGUGCAAGAGGGGAGAGUGGAAUUCCAUGUGUAGCGGUGAAAUGCGUAGAUAUAUGGAGGAACACCGGUGGCGAAAGCGGCUCUCUGGCUUGUAACUGACGCUGAGGCUCGAAAGCGUGGGGAGCAAACAGGAUUAGAUACCCUGGUAGUCCACGCUGUAAACGAUGAGUGCUAGGUGUUAGACCCUUU
rnacentral:rRNA from 1 species